rnacentral:lncRNA from 1 species
GUAAAUCAAUAAAAAAAAUGAUUCCCUGAACCUCGAUCAAUCCAUCCCAGAUUGACCUUUCUCCUCCCCAAAAAAUCGAGCUCAUCUCCCCCUCCUCCCAUCUUCCGGUCUCCCUCACGGCGUCACCCUCUUCCCUCUUAACCUUCUUCCCUCUUAGCCCUCUACCGGCUACCACCACCGGUAAGCUACAUUGCCGUCCUUCACGCCCUGAAAAUUCCUAACCAUGUUCUUCACGACAGAAAAAUCUUCAUCCACACAUCCCCCCUCCUCUUAUCACCGAUGGCCAUCAAUUGAAGUGUCAAUCCUUAAUUUCAAGUAUGUGGGAGCAUCAAGCCUCAAUUUCAAGUAUAAGUAGGUAUUGAAUUCAUGUCUAAUUUUGUAUGUGUUAUUCUCUUAUAAAUUAGGGAUUCGCUGUGAAUAAGCUAAUGUGCAUAGAUUAGAUUGCUUAUUAUUGAAUACGCCGACACAUCGAUUUAUGAUUUUGAUAAGCCGAUAUUUGGAAUGUCGAAAGCGACUUUGAAUUCUUCUAAUUCACUGAACCAUAUUACACACCGGUGUUCAAUUUUUUAUUCGGAGUAUUAUAAUUGGGUAUAUAAUACUCCAUUUGAAAUCAUCUUCUACAACGUUUGUUUGUGUAGUCCGUACCACUAUUUCAAUUUGUGAUUUCUACAAAGUCUAUACGUACGACUCUAGCACUAACAUGUACAUAUACCUACAAAUACAUACUAAAUUCCAUCAUCCAAAUCUGUUCUACAUUCCUAUUCUUCUCCUUUGUCAUUCUUCUUAUUCUUCUUCAGUUUCUGUUCUAUUUUUAUUUCACAUGAUUAAAAUUUAGAAGAAAUCUUGUUGGCCAAAUCUUUGACUUUUUCUAUGUUUUUCGUCUUGAUGUUGACUUACAGAAGCAAAAAAACAAGCGAUGGAUGCAAGUGAGAGAUUGGAUGGCCAAUUUAGUCCCCAUUUUCAUUCAAAGUACACAUGGUUCAUAUAUUCUUUUCCAUCUUCAAUUUGAUGUAGUUACAAUAUAGAUGUUUAUUAUUAGAUUACUUGAAUAAUUAUGCAAAAUCUUCAGAAAAUUAUAUUGAUUUUUUGUCAAAUAUCUUAUAAAAAGGUCGUGUGGACCCAAAUCAAUACUAUCAGUUUCCAUAAAACUAUUUUUGGAAGGGAAUAUAUGUUUUCUGCUAGUAAGUUAACGAGUAUCUACACCUCCCAUGAAUGCAAAUAUGAUUAUGCAUCAAAGCAUGGAGCCAAAGAUGGUCUUUUUAUCCUUAUACUUGUAUGGUUGGUCCAUAUUGUAACAAAAAGUAAGAAAUUAAAAAUACACUUGUAAUACUGUUUUAUUGUUACAAUGAUAUGGCUUAUCGAUAGUGCAGAUACUAAUAUUUUUUUUUCUUAUGUUUAGUGAGACUAAAUUAAUCAUUAUACGGUGUUAAGAGUUUUGGAUAAAUAUAUUUGUCGACGAAGGAACGGUGGACACCUUGUAUUGUUUUGGGUCGUGAGAACAUCAAAUAUCCAAAUGCAAAUUGGAAAUCAAAGAGCUCUGGUAACAAGGUGGAAAAUGAGGCUGACUUAUCACUAAGAUCUCAUCUACAUGAAAUUCUGGUAGAAAGAGAGCUAAUGAAGCCGACCCCAAAAUUAAAGUAAAAAAAUUAGUAGGGUGUUAUUUCUUUAGGAAUUAGGAAGUUGUCUCAUAAGUGGAGUGUUAUUUUGGUGGUGGUGUUGCUGUCUUGUCAAAGUAAAGUGUUAUUUUAGAAUUUAAUUUUGUUUAUAUUGUAACUUUCCCAGCAUCAUGCUGGUUUUUCUAUUUAAUGCAUUUGGUAACAUGUUGGAUAUGUUGCUUUUGCAAAAAUACAUUACAUAACUGUUCGUAUGGCAUAAUAUCGUUACAAAAUGCUCCUUAUGGAAGAAAUACAUUACAGAAACAAUCCCUAUGGCUGAAAAUACAUUAUAGAAACAGUCACUAUUGCAGAAAUAGUCCCUAUGACAUAAUAUCCGUGCAAAAUGGUCCUUGUGGUAGAAUUACAUUACAG